UACGUAGGGGCUAGCGUUAUCCGGAAUUACUGGGCGUAAAGGGUGCGUAGGUGGUUUCUUAAGUCAGAGGUGAAAGGCUACGGCUCAACCGUAGUAAGCCUUUGAAACUGGGAAACUUGAGUGCAGGAGAGGAGAGUGGAAUUCCUAGUGUAGCGGUGAAAUGCGUAGAUAUUAGGAGGAACACCAGUGGCGAAGGCGGCUUUCUGGACUGUAACUGACGCUGAGGUACGAAAGUGUGGGGAGCAAACAGGAUUAGAUACCCUGGUAGUCCCUGAGCGGGCU
rnacentral:rRNA from 1 species